GACGAACGCUGGCGGCGGGCGGAACACAUGCAAGUCGAACGGAAAGGCCCUGCUUUUGUGGGGUGCUCGAGUGGCGAACGGGUGAGUAACACGUGAGUAACCUGCCCUUGACUUUGGGAUAACUUCAGGAAACUGGGGCUAAUACCGGAUAGGAGCUCCUGCUGCAUGGUGGGGGUUGGAAAGUUUCGGCGGUUGGGGAUGGACUCGCGGCUUAUCAGCUUGUUGGUGGGGUAGUGGCUUACCAAGGCUUUGACGGGGAGCCGGCCUGAGAGGGUGACCGGCCACAUUGGGACUGAGAUACGGCCCAGACUCCUACGGGAGGCAGCAGUGGGGAAUAUUGCACAAUGGGCGGAAGCCUGAUGCAGCAACGCCGCGUGCGGGAUGACGGCCUUCGGGUUGUAAACCGCUUUCGCCUGUGACGAAGCGUGAGUGACGGUAAUGGGUAAAGAAGCACCGGCUAACUACGUG
rnacentral:rRNA from 1 species